rnacentral:sRNA from 1 species
ACCAGCCAGCCAGUCAGUCUGUCGGUCAGCAACAAUGGACGUCAUUGGCCACAAGAGAGCAGCGUUUGAAGUGGACUGAGCUGUGCGCUCCAUUUAACCCUCAAUGGGCACAUUUUGAGCAGCCGCUGUGCUUAAGCAUUAAAUGCCAAAUAAAUUCUGAAAUUCAGCCAAACUAAAUUUCAUCCCAAGGUAAUAGCUCAGAGUCGAGCUCUGAGCCAUUGUCACAACAUUUUUAGGGUGCCAGCUGCUGCUGUGUGCCAAGGUGUCUGUCUGUCUGUCUGUCUGCCUAAUUAGAAAGUCAAAAGUUUGGCGCAGAUAGCAGCGUUCACUGUGUUGCUUGUAUUUAUAAUCAGAAUAAAGUGAUUCGUUUGCCUAUUCACAGCGAAAAACAAGAAACUCUGGCUUUUUAUUCGCAAUAUACUCAAGCGACACGCAAAAGAGCUGCUGACGCAGCACAAUUAUAUUGAAGGGAUGGUGGCGAAGAUGACGAGGUCUGGGCGUUGUGCUGGAAUUGAUUUCAGCAAGUUCUACAUGCCCCCCGCAGACAAGCUAACCAGGUGCACAGCGCACAGGUGUUUUGGUUCUGUGCCGUGUUUUACUAACUUGACAUCACGCAUACGCCAUGGUGUCCUCCAACUUUUUCUUAUACCUCUGCCAGGAGCAUAUUGGCGGCAUUCGUUUUGAGACAUCAAACUUUAACUAUUUACCUUGGUUUAACAGCAUCAGAUAAAAAUUUAAUGUCUCCCACAGCUAGCAGGUAGCUUACGAACAAACGCCUCAAACUGUCUUCCUACUCUUUUUUCUCUAAUCAUUAAUCACAGUUCAAGAUUUAUUGCCAAUUUCUAUAAAAUCGUACUCGACCCACUUUUACUAGCCUGAAAACAGAGCAUGGCGCAGUCGAUAACAGCCGACCGGCAUGCUUUGCCUUGUUUGUUUUUGCUGUGCUCUGCAAUUUCAAAGCUUUUGUGCACUUCGCUGGAUUCUUAUUUUACGUUUAUAGCGCACAACGUGGCUGAUAUCUAUUUGAGCAGACACAGACGCUAAAAUAAAUAAACAUAAAAAAAAAUAAAUCAAAAUAAAAAAAAGGAAAACGCAAUAAAAUCAUACGCAUUGCGCUUGCAUAGCCAGUUGCUUGUUGCUGUUUAGCUCAGGCGGCAGCUAGUUCGUAACCAAAGCUAAAGCUAAAGUUAACCUAUGUGCCAGUGGCACUUUGGCAUUGCUCUACUUACUUGGCCAUUUCCGAGAGCUGCAAACGACCAUCCUUAUUGGCAUCAAACACUUGGAGCUGCGGUUUGAGUACAAAAAGAGAGAGAGGGAGAGAGAGAGAGAAAGAUGGUUGGCGCCUCUUGGGACCACGUAUAGCAGCCCCUAAAAUGAACACAUACUCGUAAAUCGACUUAAAUAAGUUACCAAAUGCUUUUUUGGCAUGACUUUUGCUUCUCUUAAAUAAAAGUAGGACUAAAUGUUGGCUUGAAAUGUAUUUCAUUUCCUAGAAUACAAAAUAUGUUUUUAAUGGUGCCUCAGUUAAGCAAUGCAUUCUCUAGGGCUGUGUUUUGUUAGAAAUUAACAUCAAGUAUCAUUUAGUUAACGG